UUUCUUAGGACAUGGGCAGGUGUGGUAGGUGUGCAUCCCCACAGGCUUGGUCUCGGGAGCUAUGAACAAGUAGGAAGGGACCGAAAUCAUGCAGGGUAGUGGGCACUAGAUUGCAAUGGUGAAUGUGGGUGUUGACUGAAUCUCUGCUCUAGUGGAGCUGAAGCGGAUGGGAUGGGAGAGGGAGGCAGGGAUGAGGGCAAGAUUUCAUGCACCAAUUUAAUUUUGUGUAGUGAUGGCUUUUGCUUGGGUUACUUGCUGCAUUUGCAGAGGAAUCAUCCAGGAGCAGCAGCCAGAGGAGAAAUUGGCAGACAUGGACGUGAGCAGCCUGGACAUCCUUCUAAGCAGAGAUUAACAGACCUCAACUUUCUACCUUCCACAUAAUAGGUGCCAAUAUAAAAGAAGUGGAGGGUCAGCGUCCGCUCCCCUCAUGCGAUGCAAAGCGAGUGAGAGCGAUGAGAUAGCAAGCAUUACUGAUGCCAGGUAAGAGCUGUCCAGCUGGGAGUGGAGCAGCCACCACUCUCAAUGAGGUAAGUGUCUGUUUUGGUGAUUGCUCUGCUCACUGCCCACUUCGCUCAACAUAGGCACGUCCCAUUAGCUAGGUCUGUGUUUGUAAGAAAAUGUUCCUGACUAGCUAUGGUUCUGAGGGAGACAAGGUCCCCAUUUUCAGGGGCUGCUCACUUCUUUGUUCACAAGCGCUGUGUCCUCUGCAGAAAUCGUUAGAUCCAGAAAGUUGAUUCCAGGUGGUGAGUUGCUUGCCUUCCUCCUGUGUUUUUCUCUCUGUCUCUCUCCUCUGGUACGUUGGCCAACACACACCCUCUUCUGUCUCUCUGUCCUUGCCUUUCUUUGUGCUGUCUUCCUUCAUAGGACACGGGCAAGGUGCUAGGUGUGCAUCCCCACAGGCUAGGUCUUGGGAGCCAUGGAGAAGCAGAAGCAGAGAAAAAUCAUGUGGGGCAGUGGGUGCUACAGUGGAGCAGUGACUGUUGGUGUUGACUCGGUCACGGUUCAUCGAGUGGGCCUGAUGUAGACGGGACGGGAGAGGGAGGCAGGGAUGAGGGCAAGAUUACUUGGACCAAUUGAAUUUUGUGUAGUGAUGGCUUUUGCUUGGCUUUUUUCCUGUGCUUGCAUUGGAAUCGUCAAGGAGACGGUGGCAGACAUGGAGCUGAGGAGCCUGGACAUCCUUCUAAGCAGACAUGAACAGUCCUCACCUUUCUGCCUCUCGCAUAACUGGCUGUGAGUAAGCGUACUAAGGGAAAAUAAGUCACGUGCCAGAAUCUACUGCCCUCAUGCUAUGGAAAGCAAUGAGACUGCGAGUAUUGUCGAUGCCACGCAAAAGCCGUCCAACUGGGAGCGGAACAACUGCUACUCUGAGAUAAGUGUCUGUUUUGGUGAUUGCUCUGCUCACGGGCCUCCCUGCUCCUGGUAGGGACGCCACAUUAGCUGGGGCUGGGUUUGUAAGAAAAUGUUUUUGACUAGCUGUAGUUACGAAGGACACAAAGUCCCCAUUUUCAAGGGCUGCUCAGUUCUCUGGCCAUGAGCGGCGAGUCCUCUGCAGCAGAAGGUUGGAUCCAGGAGGAUGACUGCAGGUGGUGAGUUGUUUGCCUUCCACCUGUGUUUUUCACUCUGUCUCUCUCUGUUCUCUAGUAUGUUGGCCAACACACGCCCUCUCUCUGUCUGUCUGUAUGUCUCACCUUUCUUUGUGCCAUCUCCCUUCAAAGGACAUGGGUGGGGUGCUCAGUGUGCAUCCCCACAGGCUAGGUCUUGGGCGCCAUGGAGAAGGAAGAGCAGAGAAAAAUCAUGAGAGGCAGUGGGGCUGAAGUGGAGCGGUGACUGUUUACUCAUCUCUGUUCAUUGAGUUGGACUCAGGUGGAUGGCAUGGGAGAGGAAGGAAGGGAUGAGGGUAAGAUUUCAUGCACGAAUAGAACUUGUUGUCCUGAUGGCUCAUGGGUGGGUUUUGCAUGUGCACUUUGAGAGGAAGUGUCCAGGAACCCCAGGCUGAGCAGAAACUGGCAGAAGUGGACCUGAUCAGCCUGAGCAUCCUUCUAAGCAGACAUGAACAGUCCUUUCCUUUUUGCCUCCCGCUUAACUUGCUGUGGGUAAGUGAUCAAUGCUUUGAAUUCCACAUCUGUACUCGCUGUAGUUUUCUUUGCAGGCUAGAAGCCCAACAAUCUGCAAGCCAAAAACUGUCCAACAGGGGAAACAGAAAGCAAUUAAGCCAAAAACAAGCCCAAUUUCUGCAGUUCCUUUGCAGGCCCCCAGCGAGUAUGAGACCAGCCCCGAGCAAGUCUUCUACAUCGCCCACCUCACCCGCAGGCAGCAGGAUGUGUUGUGGGUGGUGGCCGUAACUUCGGCAGGACGCAGCAACAUCAGUGCAAAGGUCACUGGGAAAGUACCACAGACAAAGAAGUCAAGGGUAAGAGCCCAUCCCGGUUGUAGAUGGAAGGCGCGCAAAAGCCGUGAGACAGCGAGCGUUGUUGAUGCCAGGCUAUGCAGCUGCCAUCGAGCUGGGAGCAGAGCAGCUGUCACCAUCAGUGAGAUAAGUGUCUGGUUAGGUGAGAGCUCUGCUCACUGCCCACUUGGCUCCAGGUACAAAGGCCCUGUUAGCUGGGGCUGGGUUUAUAACAAAAUGUUCCUGACUAGCUGUGGUUAUGAGGGAGACAAGGUCCCCAUUUUCAGGGGCUGCUCAUUUCUCUGUUCACAAGUGGUGUGUACUCUGCAGAAAAGGUUGGAUCCAGGAGGAUGAUUCCAGGUGGUGAGUUGCUUGCUUUCCUCCCGUGUUUCCAUCUCUCUCUCUCUCUCUCUCUCUUCUCUUGUGUGUUUGCCAACACUCUCUCUGUCAAUCUGUCCUUGCCUCUUUUUGUGCUGUCUCCCUUCAGCACGCACAGGCAGGCGUGCUAGGUGUGUAUCCACACAGGCUCCGUCUCGGGAGCCAUGGAGAAGUAGGAGGGGACGAAAAUCAUGCGGGGUAGUGGACGUGAGAGUGGAGUGGAUACUGUUGACUGUCACUGGUCAUUGACUGAGGCUGAUGUAGAUGGGAUGGGAGAGGGAGGCAGAGGUGACCGGAGAUUUCACGCACCUUCAUAGCUGUGUGUAAUGCUGGCUCAUGCAUGGCUUUUGCAGCUGCGCUGGCAGAGGAAUUGUCCAGGACUUCUACCCAGAGGAGAGGCUGAUCAACCUGAACAUCCUUUUAAGCAGACAUGAGCAAUCCUUAGCUUUCUGCCUCCUGCAUAACUGGGUUUGAGUAAGAAGUCAGUGCUUUCAAUUCCAUAUCUGUACUCGCUGUAUUAUUCUUCACAGGCUGUGUUCUUCCUCGCUGGGUGUGGGGCUCUGAGAUUGUCUUAGGAGGAGCCAGAGUCUGCUGUGCAGAGGGAUUAUUUCUUGUGCCGUUACAAGGGGUGCAUUUUAGUUGCAAUACUAAAGGUGUAAUGGAGGGGGAGGCGGAGCCCUGACGUGUUGAAGAGGUGAAAAGAAUAACCUAUGCGACGUUGUCCACUGGGAUGAUAACUUGUUUGUUUUUCCUCCUUGUGCUGCAUUUAGUACCAAGGGAAGAGAAGUUACGUAUUAGAGUCUACUGUCCUCAUGCAAUGGAAAGUGAGCGAGAGCGAUGAGACCGUAAGCAUUGUUGAUGCAAGGCAGGAGCCGUCCAGCUGGCAGUGGAGCAGUCGCUAUUAUCAGUGAGACAAGUGUCUGUUGUGUGUGCAGAGGAAUUGUCCAGGAGCCCUAGCCAGAGGAGAAGGUGGCAGAAGUGGACCUGAGCAGCCUGGACAUCCUUGUAAGGAGACUUUAACAGUUCUCAGCAUUCUGCCUCUCACCAAACUGGCUGAGAGUAAGCUGUCAGUGCUUAGAAUUCCUCAUCUGUACUCGAUGUAGUUCUCUUCACAGGCCGUGUGCUUCCUCGUUGGGUAAGGGGCUCUGUGGGAUUAGGGCUGGAACUCCUCACCAGAAAAUGUUGUGAAGGCCAAGACAAAAAUGGGGUUAAAAAAAGAACUAGGCAAAUCCAUGGAGGGUCGGUCCAUCAAUGUCUGUUAGUCAGGAUGAGCAGGGAUAGUGUCUCUAGCCCCUUCUGCUUUCCAGGCAGCUUAGCGUC